rnacentral:lncRNA from 1 species
GCGAUAUUAGCCAUAGCUCACGCGAUAUUGGCCAUAGCUCAUACGAUAUAAGCCCUUUUUCGCUUCCGAGUUCCCUCAUCCGGCUGUCCCGAGAGGAACCCUAGAUCUGGAGAAGAGCAGACCCUGUCCGGUUGUCUCUUCUUCCCGGAUCGAUCUCCCCCUUCUGCACGCCCGCGAGUCUCUUCGGCGUCCGGCGACUUUGGCGUGCUUCGUCCCUUCUCCGGUUCUCCCAAGGUAUGUCCCUCCUCCGAAACCCUAGGUCUGCAACUUGCCCUAGGUCCCUUCUUCGAUUCUUCCUCUCAUUCAUUCUCCAUUUCGAAGGGCUGCGGCGGUGCUGCGGAGGAACCCUAGAUCUGGAGAAGACCAUGUUUGGGGAUCGAUCUCCCCCUUCUGCGCGGUAUAGGAAGACCAUCACGCUCGAGGUUGAGAGUAGCGACACCAUCGACAACGUCAAAUCCAAGUUCCAGGAUUUUUGCCUUCUCGUUUUCAGCUUGCUCACUCUAAAAUAAUGCCAAAACAAGUUUCUUUCUGAGAAGCCUCACAGAUAAUUGUUACUCACCUUUCUCUAAGAUACACUCAAAUAUUGAAGAAAAACUAAUGCCUUGCGUUCUGAAACAUUUCUUUGAGAUUUAAAAGAGCACAUGCUCAAAGUGUCUAUAGAUCAUAUUUUAAUAGAUAAGGAGCAAAUGACCUAGACAGGGCUAAAGAAAUUCUAGCAGAGAGAGAAAGAAAGAACUGGCACAGUAGCCGCAAGCUCUAGCUUUUUGCCAUCCAACUUCCGUUUUGAAGCAUAAGUAGAAAAAUAAGCAUCAAGUUUAACGCAAAAAUAUAAAACAGGGCUCCAGAUUUAGGAGGGAGAGAGCAAGAGCCCG